UUUCAUAUACAUGUAUAAAUAUGAUUCCCUGUACACAUGUAUACUCAAUAGUCAAUAGAGAACACUAUUGAGACAAAUACAAAGAACAAGAUUGCAGAAGCUGAAAUACUACCACCUUAAAGAAAGAGGGCACUUGAUAAAGUACCAGGGAAGCGUUACAGGGUGAAGGUUGUUGACACAAUUCUUGAUUUAGAUGUAACCAAGAAUAAAGAAACAAUAACCAAUAUUACAAGUUUUUACAACUUUAGUUUGAGAGCAGUCAUUUGAGGAUGUGGCAGACAUACAAUAUUGAUUAAGGUAUUACUUUUAUAUUCAACAUAAAGAAAAAAACAGAUUACAAAUAACAUAUAGUUUUAAACAUAACACAACCACUGAAAAUACAGGGUCUGGCUUGUACACAGGUGGGUAA